CCUAGCAAUAAGGGUUCUCAUAAACACAUCUCAGUGCUUUAUAACACUCACCAUAAAUGAUCCAACAUAAGCCUUCCUUUCGUUUUGGUAUUUAAUUAUUUCAAACAAAGCUUGCAACAAAAGCACUAGGGAUGCCAAGAGUACAUCAACAUUCAGAAAAAGUCAAUUUAUUACCUACAAUCAACAAAGUUGUAGCUAAAGUCAAUCGAAAGAAACGUAUGAAGAUCCUUAAAACUAGGAGAUCACAAUCUAGCACUUAUACAAAGCCUAUCAGUCCUACUAUAACUACUGAUAGAGCAAGAACAAGGAAUAUUGAAACAAACAUACUCCAUGGCAAUGAUGAGGUUGAAACUAUCAACACACCACGAUUAAGUUUUGAUGAAGUUCAUGAAGCUUCAACAAGCAAAACUUAUGGCAAUAUUCAAAAGAUUACAAUGGCUACUCAACACAAAAGAACAUGUUUUGAACCUUCAUAUGUCAACG